rnacentral:lncRNA from 1 species
ACUUUAUUUAAUCAAUCUAGCACUAUUCCAAUGGAUGCAUAACAAUAUAGUCACUACAACAAAAUUAAUUUUUUGUGACGAAUAAAAUCGGCACAAAAAUAUAAAUUUUCGCCACAAAAAAAAUUUUGUGGCGAAAAUAAUUUCGCUACAGGGUCGCCACAAUAGGACCGCUACAAAAGGUUACGGCGGCCAAAACAAUUUCGCCAUAAAAAAUACAUACUUUUUGUGGCGAUUUUAUUGGACACAACUGUUUCCAAAUUCGCCACAAUAAAGAAUCAGAUGGUCAUAAAUAUGUAUAGUAAUAAUAAGGAAAUAUAUGAUAUUUUGUGAGCAAAAUAGUUUUGGCCACAAAUAAUAACAUAUGAUUUAUGGCAAAUUUAAAAAUGGCCACAGGUAAUAUUAAUCAUAUAGCGGCAAAAAUUAUAUUUUGCCACAAAUAAUCCUUUACAUUUUGUGACAAAUUUUAAUAUUAGCCACACAUAAAAUUGUUAUUUUUAUGACGAU